GAGCUCAGCUCUUGAGACAGAAGUCUUGCUCAAUGCUCCUGGCUGAAUAAACCAUUUCCUUCUUUAACUCAGUGUCUGAGGAGUUUUGUCUGCGGCUCGUCCUGCUACAUUUCUUGGUUCCCUGACCGGGAAGCGAGGUGAUUGGCAGAUGGUCGAGGCAGCUCCUUAGGCGGCUAAAGCCUGCCCUGUGGAACAUCCCUGCAGGGGACUCUGACCAGCCUGAGCGACGUGGAUCCUGAGAGCGCUUCUGGGUAGGCAUUUGCCCCAGUGGGAUGCCUCACCAGAGCAGUGUGUGGAAGGCCCCCAUGGAGUCUCAACACGGUGGCUGAACACCGGGAAGGAACUGGUAUUUGGAGUCCGGACAUCUGAAACUUGGUCAGUGAGAGAGCAUAUGCCCUGGUAGAUUCCUGAGAAAAGGAACAGGAGGAUGAGAGGUUCAAUGUUUUACACAUUGCUGGUCUGAUAGCUCAGCUUCAUUCACAGUGUUUGUGAGGCAAACAUGUUCCAAAGAAGGCCAGAAAAAGCCCAGCCAGGUUGAAUUCUGUGGAAAAUUCACCGAAAAGAUACAAUGCAUUUGAAACAAAACAAAACAAAACCAAAAAACACCUGCAGAAGUCCACUUGAAAAACCUGGGCUUAUUCACUCUCUGUGCCUCCCAUAUUCUAGAAGAUGUCUGCACAUAGAAUGUACAGAAAAAUGUCUGUCUUUGCCCAUGAUGGGAGAGGAAAGGCCAUUGUGUCUCUUGUUAGCAGAUCAAGAUUGGCAUUAGAGCUCAUCGAGGAGAACUGUGUCUUGACCAGCAUCCUUGAUCACUGAGGACACUGGUGGUCCUAUGUUGGUGAGGUGCCAGCUUUUCACACUCAGUCUUUUUCUAAUGCAGUCACUCCAGAGCCAUUUCUUAGCCAAUGAUCUCUGUCCUGUUGUCUCACAUAAAGUGAGCAGCCCCAUCUCUGUUACAUUCAAGUACUUACUAUUUGUGUUCAACUCUUUUGAUGAUAAGAAUGGCCAUAGUUUUCAAAGGAUCUGGGGUUUUCCACCCAUGCUUUCCUGCAUUUUUUCCCCUUUCAUGUCACCAUGAUCUGCCACCACCCUUGUUCCUACCUGCCCAGGUCAUGCCAUGUUCCAUGAGCAUGGAGGUGUGGAUUGGUGGCACCUCAUGAUUUUAUUUGUUAAUGAAUUUUUAACAAUUAACAUAGAAAUGAUUUGCCUGUAUUCAGUAAAUUAAUAUGAAUUGAACAUAAGAGUAGAGAAUUCACAGUUUUCUAAGCAACGAUUUCUGCUUUCAGGAAGUGUGAAGGCUAUUUGAAGGGAGCGAACACCACAAUAAAGAGUAGUUCAUGAUGCCACAGGGCAAGUACAAAUACUCUUUCCCAAAAGCUCACAGGGAGGUGAGGUCUAUGUGGGGAUGGAAUCCACUCACAGAGGAAUUUGAGCAGGAUCAUGAAGGCAUAGAACAUGCAGCGAUGAGAGCCACAGAGAGGAAAUGAAUGCAAGAUGUAAUGGCCAUGAAAGAUUAUGAACCAACCCCAUGCAGUUUACUGGGUCAACUGUGCCUAUUAAAAGGCAUAUUUCUUUCAUUAGCUAUGCACUUUAUGAUCAGGUUUUAUGCCCUGGCCCUAUGAAAGGAACUUGAAUGUAGAAUGUUUCACAGGCAGGGUGGUCAUUUUGAUUAGAGCACUUGCCUCCUUACCAGCCCUGCUGCUUCCAUAAACAUUUCAUCAGGAAUUUUCAUCAGUUCACACUCUCUGUGAGGCUCUUUAGACAUCCGAGCAAUGCUGCCAAGGGGAUGUUUGGUCUUUUAAAUUGUGAUGACAAAAUAAACUUUUAUGAACCCUCUUGCUCAAUAAACACAGCCUGGCAUUUUAAAUGUCAGCACAUCUCAAUUUUGUGAGAGGGUCUGCCUGAGAGGAUUGACUUGAAACUACACAGCAAAGAGGAGGUGCUAGUCCACAUUUGCGUGUUCCAUUUGCAUGAGCAAAAUGGACCUGAAGAUGGAGCUGCAGCAAGAGGGGAGGCACAUGUCCAAUAGCAAGGAAGCCAUCAAGAAUCCUUUAUUCUUGAAGGGGUAUGCAACAGACUGGAAAGGAUCUCAUUUUUCUUUGCUUUAAAUGCUUUGGUAAAUGUAAUAUGUUUCUACUUUUGGGGAAAGUUUAGGGGCUUUCAUAAUCAUGUUUGUGUUGACCUUCAACAACAGAGAUAAGCUGCUAUUCAGCCUUUUGAACCCCGAAAAGAGACCCAGGACUCUUAUACAUUAAGUAGUUAAUGCUGACUUUAUUGCUAUACCAAUACCAUGGUGACCAUUUCUGAUGAAAGAUUAGUAGGUAAUCUCAAGGUAGUUCUCAACCUCUUCUUUCACAAGCAAAGCAAAACAACAAUUGUGAUAUCCAUAGUCAAUACAUUCCUUGAUCUCACCUCAGUAACCAACUCUACCACUCCACCCCCCAAGUAGACACCCUAGUUGUUUUGCCUCUUAUUCUCACAAAGUAACCCUUGAAUGGUUAUCUUAAAGUUAAUUUUGCAUGUAACAGAAAGUGUAAGAUUUGUUCUUUAAAUAAAGAGUGAGAGCUGAACUGCACAUAUCAUUUUUUAGGCCCUUCAACUUCUCAGCAUGCUUGGUUUAGCCAAUGCAUGGCAUGGCUCAGUUGUUGAGUAAAUAUUUGUUAGAUGAAUAUGUGAAUCAAUACCUAAAAUAAGAAGCAGGCAUAUUGCCAUACCUUGCUAAAUAUCUCUACGGUCCUAAGAGAAGAGGAUCAGUGUUUAGUUUCUUGAUUUCCUUAAAUGUUAAUUUCUAUCUAUGAAUUGUCACAAAAUUACACUUAUAAAUCACUCACAUGGUCAUGCAUUCCCUUUAUCAGGAACAGCACCUGACACACAAAUUCUAAGUAAAUAUUAUUGAAUGGAUGAGUAGGUGGUAUAGCUGGGCUGUGCCUGAUUCUGUGUGACCUUGUCUAAGAUUUGAAUAUUCUAGGACAAAUCACUAUUUUUUAGAGGAUCCUCUGUGAGGUCUAAAUAUCAUUGUGUGGCAAGGUGUAGAAACAAAUUUGAGACCACCAUACUCAAACAAAAACAAAAACAAGACAAAACAAAAAACACCAGGAUGGGCACUCCUAUUCCAUAAAGGCAAGCUAGAGGCCACUGGCCAAUUAUUGUGCUUAUUUAAAAAUUUUAACAUUGAUUUUUGUUUAGUUCAAAGUUACUCUGGGUUAUCUGAGGAUUGAUUGUCUCUACUCUGUUGCCCAGUUAUUUUACUAAAUUCUGUGACCUUAGGUAAAGCCCUGAAUACUUUCGGAUCUUCGUUUUCUCAUCUGUCAAUGGACAAAGUUAUCCUUCAUAAAAGUGGGCACUUAGGGCAGUGUCAGAUACUUCACAGUUGAAGAGAAACUAUAAUAAUACUUAAUUUUAAGGUUUUUAGAAAAAAUUUCAUUUUAUCAGUCAAGCUUUCAAAUCUAACCAUUCAAUACCUUUCUUUUUCUUUCUGCCUUCAAACUAUUUUUAGAAUCAGCUGAAAAAAAAAGCCCUGAUAAUGCAACUUGUUUUCACAGCAGUUCAGUUGAGCAGAAUAACGGACCCUGGGGAGGACUAAUUCUUGGCUCUCAUUGCCUGGGCUUCUGGGUCUGUGAUUAGUCAUAUACAGUGACUUUAAUGGGUCGUAAAAGGACCAUAAAUCUAUUGCAGAAAUGGCCACAUCUGUGUUUUAGAAAAGCGGUGGGGGUUUUUUAGUUAUUUUAUUUUAAAAACUAACCAAAAAUUUAGUCGUUUUUCUAUAUUUCUUUAUUUUAAGUUCUUAUUUGCAGGUAUUAGGAUUAAAUGUAGCAGUGUUUUCCAUCCUUUGUCUAUGUAGUUCAACGUGUAUGUGAUUUUUCUCCAAUAGUUUGUCAUUUUGAGUAUGCUUGAAUAAUACUCAGCUCAAAGUCAAGUCACCUGUAAGGUCAUGAAGCACACUUGUUGACAUAUCCAUUGUCCCAUUAGACAGAGAACAUCUCAGGAGCAAGAACACUGUAAUAUUCAUUACUUUAACCUCCAUGACUGUCAGAAAGAGCAGGUAACCAAUAAAUGUUUCUUAAUAUAAAAAUGGAAUAGUCAUGCGCCACUAAAGACAUUUCAGUCAACAAUGGACUACAUAUGAAACCAUGUUCCCAUAAAAUUAUAAUAGAGCUGAAAAGUUCCUAUUGCCUAGCAACAUUGUAGCCAUCACAAUGUAGUAAUGCAAAGCAUUACCUUUUCUAUGUUUAGAUACACAAAUACUUAACAAUUGUAUUACAAUUGCCUCAGUAUUUAGUAAAGUAACAUGCUGUACAAGUUUAUACCCCAGGAGCCACAUAGCCUAGGUUUGUAGUAGGUUAUAUAGGUUCUGAUCAUUUAGGUGUAUGUAAGCAUACUCUAUGAUGUUCGCACAAUAAGGAAAUUGUCUAAUGAUGCAUUUCUCAGAAUGUAUCCUUGUCAUUAAGCAACAUGUGACUGUAGUAAAAUUUGACAGAAAAAAUAAUGUUUCUGUGGAAGUCUUCAUACUAAUUUUUGAAGCAGAAUAACUAAGAAAAUAAGAUCAAUGUAUGUAAAGUUCAGGAAAUCAAUUUUUAAAGAUAGGUUUUGUACUAAGCAUUUAAAUCAUCCACAUUAACCUGAGAACUUUGCAGCCUUUUCUGACCCCUUCUUAUGGUGACCUUGCUCGCUCACCCAUCCAGUCCUGCUAUUCAUGGUCUCAGCAAUGCCUCACCUAUUGACCAGUUAGUUACUCCAAAAUCGGUUCCAUUUGUAGCCACUUACUUAUGUCAAUAGAAACUAACCAAUUAAUUUAGAAAUGGGAAGGGUUAAAAGAAACACAUUUCUACCUCCACCUUCACAUGAGUUCCCCAUUGGAUUAGCCUUCCAGUUUAAACCAGAAAAAAAUAGACUUAUCUGGGCAUCUGUGGCAGUGUUUUCAAUGUCUUUGCAAGAUCACUUGAAAUAUACUGAUUUUAAGUUAGUAUGCUUUCACUGUGCAUAAUUUGGAGAGCUUAGCAGAUAAACGUGGUGAGGAACACAGGACCAACUCUCCUCCAGUGAGAACCUGGAUCAUGUCAGAAGGACUCUGAGGCAGUAUGACCCUUUCUGGUCCUACACCUGGUGUUUUUGCCCAGCUUCUAGCAGAUGCCUGUAGAGCUGCGGCCUUGUACCUGGGAGCAGUGCAGCCAACCUGGUAGACGGUAAAAAACUUGUGGCAGCACUGAGAAUGUAUCCCAGGCAUGAAAUCUUUGUCACUAUAACCAGGUGAUAAUUUCUACUUGAAGUGAUGCAGUUUAUACCUCUUUUCCUGGAGUAAUUAUUUGAUAGCAUCUUGUUUUUCACUCUCAAAAGUGUUUCGAUCUGCUGAAUAAAUUAGAUGAUCGCUCAAAAUACAGGAUUAUAUUCUCUGUCAGCAGGAUAUUUUGGGCUAUUUCUAGAAAAAUUCUAGAAGAAAGAGACUUACCACACCCCCCAGGUAUAAUCCAAAAAUGUAUAAUUCCCAUCUCCUGUGCAGAUGGUAAGCUGGGUUAUCAUCUGCCAAUCACAGUUCUUUCCAGAGACUGCUGUUUUAAGGUAAACAAUGGGAUGAAAGUGACGCCCUGAGGAAUCCUUUUGCAGCCAGCGAACUGGCUUUCCAAGGUCAGAGGUGCAAAGUGACAUCAUGGGAUUGUGGCAAUUGCAGCAGGCAAAGUUUCCUCACAGGCCGGUUCUGCACUGAGGGAUUUAAAUAUAUUCUUUCUAGCUUAGCCUCAAAGAUGUUCUCCAGCCUUUCCAACCAUUCUGUACACUAUUCAAUAUCUUUUAAUAAACUCCUGGGUAUUUUGUUUUCCUGCUUAAUUAGUCAGCCAAUUUCUAUUGCUUACAACUAAGGACCUUGACUAAGACAUGGGUAAACUUGAAAAUUUGAGUUCAUAAAAUAUUUUUAACCCCAGGAUCCACAUGGAAAAGGAACGUUCUGCUGUUUUGAAGGUUCUGUUCAAGUCUCUUUCAACAAACAAUGUCUUAUGUGAAAAAGGGCUGCUCAUCGUUUUCAAAGUUGACCUUGAUUUUUCAUGCCAUAGAUUAUUCAAAACUAUGGGUUAUUCUUUUUAAAAUGAUGUUAAGGUCAAGUGACAAACUUUCUUCUCAGAUGUCACAUGGAAAAACUGGUGUUUGGAUGUCAACUGUGGCAUUUUUAAUCCUAUGUUUUUCCCACUGGCAGCACUAUGUUUUCAGAGAAGCUUUAGCACUCUGCAAUGCCCACUGCGACAAUCAACCAGAUAGCCUCAUUUUCGAUAAUGUAAUCUGAAAAGUGUUUAAUUAGCUUUCUUCCUGCUGCUGACUCACCCUCACUUGGAUACACACAUUAUAGAACCUAAACAGCAGCAGAUCAUCAAAGUGAGUUGAAAUAUGCUAUUGUUUUCUUGAUAAUGGAUUCUUUAAAGAUCUCAGGUAUCAUUAAACUGCUAACAGGCUCGGGCCCUUAUAGGGUGGUGCAGUAUGGCAUUUUGGAAGUUUUCUUUUGUGUUCAAAUCCAGAAUUCCAGGUAGAUCCUGGGUACUUAGUAGUUGUCAGUUUAAAUGCAUAUACAAAUCUGCAUACAUUUGGAAAAAACUUCUCAAAUGAUUAUUCCAUUUUUUGUUAGGCAGUGACAUUUUUCUUUGAUCCUUAUAUGUAAGGGAACUUACCACAAUGAAUAAUAAAAUAUUUGAAGACCG